rnacentral:misc_RNA from 1 species
AAUUAGACCUUUUAACUUUCAAAAACUUAGCAAUUCAGCCCUUAUUUAAAUAUCAUUAGGUUACACAGUUAAUCAACAAGUAGCUUUGUAGGACCUGAGAAGUAAAUAAAAUAUUAUUGAAAAUUAUAAACAUUUAAACUCAAAUUUAAUAAAAAAAACUCAGGUUUUCUGUCACUUUCUCAAUAACAAAACACCAAACUUUUUUGGAGCCUCAAAUGAACUUCACUGAUAUCAAUUCCAAUAAUAAUAAAGAAAACAUGAAUUCUUCAAGUUUUACCCAUCUUAGCACUGAAAACAUAGUGCAGCCACAUGGAGUCAAAAGAUUAAGCAUCAGCCACUAAAAUCCACAUACAAGGAAGAGAACAAUACAAACAUCAAAUGGAAUAAAAUAACAACAUAAAAUUAAAUAAAAGCAAAUAAGGUGCACAAAUGCACAUAUACACGCGCACAAAUUCACACUAAUAAAAAGAAAAUGUUGAUAUUUACAGAAAUUUAAAGAAAGAUAGUGAGAGUAUCAACCAUUAGGAGCAUAGCUAAAACCAUUAUCAUUGGAAUCGAAAUCAAAGCACCAUUCUCAACCCUUGGUGCUUAACAUCAGCAUCAGCUCCUCUUAGGAGGCGAGCGAUUAUUUCCUUUGCUUUGUGCUUGGCCAUUUGGAUCUAAUCGGUAGGUGGGGACAUGCUGUUGUAAGACUGCAGAGCGUGUGUGGAGUCUGUUGAUGAGAAGCCAUUAGGCUGUUGCGUUGAUGAUGGGGUUUGGUCAUUGUAUUUGUGCUUAUGAUUCACAACUAAGGAGAAAUGGCAGCUUCAGAAUCCAGAGAAGGAGAGGGUUUGUGAGAGAGGAAAUGGAGAGGGAGGCAAGGCAAAGAAAGGCGAGUAGGAAUGGAGAGGCUAGGCUGAGAGAGGGAUGUUUCAAGGGAGGAGGGGCAAGGGUGUCAAUUGGUUGAAGAGAAAAUCCGGAUGAGUGUAGGAAGAGA